rnacentral:rRNA from 1 species
GAUGAACGCUAGCGGCAGGCUUAAUACAUGCAGGUCGAGGGGCAGCAUGAUUGUAGCAAUACAAUUGAUGGCGACCGGCAAACGGGUGCGGAACACGUACACAACCUUCCAACAAGUGGGGGAUAGCCCAGAGAAAUUUGGAUUAAUACCCCGUAACAUAGCGAUGUGGCAUCACAUUGCUAUUAUAGAUUUUUCGCUUGUUGAUGGGUGUGCGGCUGAUUAGAUAGUUGGCGGGGUAACGGCCCACCAAGUCUACGAUCAAUAGCUGAUGUGAGAGCAUGAUCAGCCACACGGGAACUGAGACACGGGCCCGACUCCUACGGGAGGCAGCAGUAAGGAAUAUUGGACAAUGGACGCAAGUCUGAUCCAGCCAUGCCGCGUGAAGGAUUAAGGUCCUCUGGAUUGUAAACUUCUUUUAUAAGGGACGAAAAAAGGCUUUUCUAAGUCGUCUGACGGUACCUUAUGAAUAAGCACCGGCUAACUCCGUGCCAGCCGCCGCCGUAACAC